rnacentral:rRNA from 1 species
GACAGAGGGUGCAAACGUUGUUCGGAAUUACUGGGCGUAAAGCGCGUGUAGGUGGUGGGACAAGUCUGCUGUGAAAGCGCCUGGCUUAACCGGGCGAGGUCGGCGGAAACUGUCCGACUAGAGGACGGUAGAGGGGGGUGGAAUUCCCGGUGUAGUGGUGAAAUGCGUAGAGAUCGGGAGGAACACCUGUGGCGAAGGCGGCCCCCCUGGGCCGGCCCUGACACUGAGACGCGAAGGCGUGGGGAGCGAACGGG